GACGAACGCUGGCGGCAGGCCUAACACAUGCAAGUCGAACGAGUGGCGGACGGGUGAGUAAUGUCUGGGAAACUGCCCGAUGGAGGGGGAUAACUACUGGAAACGGUAUCUAAUACCGCAUACCAUCGGAUGUUCCCAUAUGGGGUUGGCUAGUAGGUGGGGUAACGGCUCACCUAGGCGACGAUCCCUAGCUGGUCUGAGAGGAUGACCAGCCACACUGGAACUGAGACACGGUCCAGACUCCUACGUGAGGCAGCAGUGGGGAAUAGUGCAGAAUGGGCGCAAGCCUGAUGCAGCCAUGCCGCGUGUAUGAAGAAGGCCUUCGGGUUGUAAAGUACUUUCAGCGAGGAGGCGUUACUCGCAGAAGAAGCACCGGCUAACUCCGUGCCAGCAGCCGCGGUAAUUC
rnacentral:rRNA from 1 species